AAUACUAUACUAUUACAAUUAUCAUAAGAGAAUAGGUAGAUUAGUAACUCACCUAUUUAGUGAUUCUGUUUUUGGUAUCAAAAAGGUAGUUGUUAUUCUAAUUUGAUUUGUAUGUUGAUUUGGUUGUUCAGUCAAUUGUUUGCCCCGAGCGGAGAGAUAGGUUGUUCAAGUCAGAACAAAGGUGUAAAUAAAGAAUCUACCCUAAAGUCUGGUACCGGGCUAAGUUCCUAUAGUAAGGGCAGCUUUAGAUGGCUAAGUGACUAUAUAACAAUAUGGAAUCAACCCAGCGCUCACUAAGAAUAGGAAAAGGAAUCCAGAAUUACUACCUACCCACGAUAGGCUGCCUAUACCGUUUUGUUAAGUCUGUUUCCUCUACUAAUAGGAAUUGACCUAAACCCCUCCUCUGCUCUAUUGGAAUGAAACUACUUAUUACUAUAUAUUAGACAACAACCACUAACUCGGGAUCGAACUCACACUACCUAGAUCCACAAGGCUUUCACUAGAAACUAGGACUUCCUUUACUGCCUCCCGAACCUGGCUUUGAUUCCUGCUUUACUUGCUUUUAGGCUUGCUUUUUCGCUUUUUGGUCUUCCGCGCCCCUGUACCUGUACUCAAGUCUUUACUAUCUAGCUGAAUUCUUCCAAUACUGACUUAAACUCUCCUAUGUGUGCAACGGUAAGUCUGAAACUGCUGAACCACCCAUCAGUAGAAGAAUAAGGACGGAGCACGCAGUCCAGCGCUCUAAACUAGUAACAAAUGGCAAAGAACUCAGUCUAAACCAAUAGCAUAAAGCCUUACUUCUUUAACUAAAACCUGCGUUCCCAACUCCAACACUGCGAACUUGAACUCC
rnacentral:lncRNA from 1 species